UAUGUUUGAGUUGUGUUUUCAGGACAAGAAGCAUAUGGCCUUGAGGAGUUUGAUUCAAUUGCUCAUUUGGAUUGAUAUUUGAUUGAUGUUGAUUAACAUUAAGCUGUUUUGUAGGUGGAUUAGCUCCUUUGAGUUGAGCUUGUGAUUUGCUUGAUGCAUUGCUUGUUGUCUGUUUGUACAGUUAACUGUUGACUUUUGUAUUGUCUGUUUGGCUUU
rnacentral:lncRNA from 1 species